rnacentral:rRNA from 2 species
AGAGUUUGAUCAUGGCUCAGAUUGAACGCUGGCGGCAUGCUUUACACAUGCAAGUCGAACGGCAGCGCGGGCUUCGGCCUGGCGGCGAGUGGCGAACGGGUGAGUAAUGCAUCGGAACGUACCCAGUCGUGGGGGAUAACACAUCGAAAGAUGUGCUAAUACCGCAUACGUCCUGAGGGAGAAAGCGGGGGACCUUCGGGCCUCGCGCGAUUGGAGCGGCCGAUGUCAGAUUAGCUAGUAGGUGGGGUAAAGGCCCACCUAGGCGACGAUCUGUAGCGGGUCUGAGAGGAUGAUCCGCCACACUGGGACUGAGACACGGCCCAGACUCCUACGGGAGGCAGCAGUGGGGAAUUUUGGACAAUGGGGGCAACCCUGAUCCAGCCAUGCCGCGUGAGUGAAGAAGGCCUUCGGGUUGUAAAGCUCUUUCGGCCGGGAAGAAAUCGCGCUCUUUAAUAGAGGGUGUGGAUGACGGUACCGGACUAAGAAGCACCGGCUAACUACGUGCCAGCAGCCGCGGUAAUA